rnacentral:rRNA from 1 species
UACGGAGGGUGCGAGCGUUGUUCGGAAUCACUGGGCGUGAAGCGCGUGUAGGCGGCCCACUAAGUCUGAUGUGAAAGCCCGGGGCUCACCCCCGGAAGUGCAUUGGAAACUGGUGGACUCGAGUCCCGGAGAGGAGAGUGGAAUUCCUGGUGUAGCGGUGAAAUGCGUAGAUAUCAGGAGGAACACCGGUGGCGAAGGCGGCUCUCUGGACGGUGACUGACGCUGAGACGCGAAAGCGUGGGGAGCAAACAGG